AGGAAGAUGAAGAAGAAGAACAAAAGAAGAGGGAAGCUCGGGGUGUUUGUCGUGCAUUUCAAAGGGGUGAAUGUACCCGUGGAGCUGGAUGCAAAUUCUCCCAUGAUGAGCAGAGAGCUGCAAACACGGGAUGGGGGGCGGCAGAAGAUGCAAGUUCAAAAUGGGGGCACGACAAGUUCAACGAUCGAAAAGAUCAUGACAGAG
rnacentral:misc_RNA from 1 species